rnacentral:rRNA from 1 species
CCUACGGGAGGCAGCAGUGAGGAAUUUUCCGCAAUGGGCUAACGCCUGACGGAGCAAUGCCGCGUGGAGGAGGAAGGCCUGUGGGUCGUAAACUCCUUUUCUCAGAGAAGAAGAUCUGACGGUAUCUGAGGAAUAAGCAUCGGCUAACUCCGUGCCAGCAGCCGCGGUAAUACGGGGGAUGCAAGCGUUAUCCGGAAUUAUUGGGCGUAAAGCGUCCCGAGGUGGCUUACCCAGUCGACUGUGAAAGCUCAGGGCUUAACCUUGAAACUGCAGUCGAAACUUGUAAGCUUGAGUACGGUAGAGGCAGAGGGAAUUCCCGGAGGAGAGGUGAAAUUCGUAGAUAUCGGGAGGAAGGCCAAAGGCGAAAGCACUCUGCUGGGCCGAUUUACUGACACUGACAGACGAAAGCUAGGGGAGCGAAAGGGAUUAGAUACCCCGUGUAGUCCUAGCCGUAAACGAUGGAUACUAAGUGUUGCGCGACUCAACUCGCGCAGUGCUGCAGCGUAACCGUACGGUAACGGUUAACGUACCCGUCCCGUCGGGGUAGGUAGUGCGUCGCGAACGAGUAGAACGUACGAAACGGAAGUUAGACGGCGUGAGACGUAGCCGACGGACGACCGACGAGGGAGGUAGG